GACGAACGCUGGCGGCGUGCUUAACACAUGCAAGUCGAACGAAGUGGCGAACGUGUGAGUAACGCGUAAUCAACCUGCCCUUCCGAGGGGGACAACAGUUGGAAACGACUGCUAAUACCGCAUACUGAAGGAGGGGAUUUCGUCUGAUUAGCUAGUUGGAGGGGUAACGGCCCACCAAGGAGAUGAGCAGGAGCCGUUCUUAGAGGAUGAACGGACAAAUUGGGACUGAGACACGGCCCGGACGCCUACGGGAUGCAGCAGUGGGGAAUCUUCCGAAAUGGACGAAAGUUGGACGGAGCAACGCCGCGUGAGUGAUGACGGCCUUCGGGUGGUAAAGCUUUGUUAAUCGGGACGCGGUACCGGAAUAGAAAGCCACGGCUAACUACGUGCCAGCAGCCGCGGUAAUAC
rnacentral:rRNA from 1 species